rnacentral:rRNA from 1 species
UACGUAGGGGGCAAGCGUUGUCCGGAAUCAUUGGGCGUAAAGCGCGCGUAGGCGGCCCGGUAAGUCCGUUGUGAAAGUCAAAGGCUCAACCUUUGAAUGCCGAUGGAUACUGCCGGGCUAGAGUCCGGAAGAGGCGAGUGGAAUUCCUGGUGUAGCGGUGGAAUGCGCAGAUAUCAGGAGGAACACCGGUGGCGAAGGCGGAUCUCUGGGCCUUACCUGACGCUCAGGCACGAAAGCUAGGGGAGCGAACAGG